rnacentral:rRNA from 1 species
UACCCUACGGGAGGCAGCAGUGGGGGAUAUUGGACAAUGGGGGAAACCCUGAUCCAGCGAUGCCGCGUGAGGGAAGAAGGUUUUCGGAUUGUAAACCUCUGUGGAGGGGGACGAUAAUGACGGUACCCCUUUAGGAAGCCACGGCUAACUACGUGCCAGCAGCCGCGGUAAUACGUAGGUGGCGAGCGUUGUCCGGAAUUACUGGGUUUAAAGGGUGCGCAGGCGGUCUGUUAAGUCAGCGGUCAAAGCCCGGGGCUCAACCCCGGCCCGCCGUUGAAACUGGCAGUCUCGAGUUGGAGAGACGU